GCCUACGGGAGGCAGCAGUAGGGAAUCUUCCACAAUGGGCGAAAGCCUGAUGGAGCAACGCCGCGUGGGUGAAGAAGGUCUUCGGAUCGUAAAACCCUGUUGUUAGAGAAGAAAGUGCGUGAGAGUAACUGUUCACGUCUCGACGGUAUCUAACCAGAAAGCCACGGCUAACUACGUGCCAGCAGCCGCGGUAAUACGUAGGUGGCAAGCGUUAUCCGGAUUUAUUGGGCGUAAAGGGAACGCAGGCGGUCUUUUAAGUCUGAUGUGGAAGCCUUCGGCUUAACCGGAGUAGUGCAUUGGAAACU
rnacentral:rRNA from 1 species